CAGCCCUACGGGGCGCAGCAGUGGGGAAUAUUGCACAAUGGGGGGAACCCUGAUGCAGCGACGCCGCGUGAGUGAAGAAGUAUUUCGGUAUGUAAAGCUCUAUCAGCAGGGAAGAAAAUGACGGUACCUGACUAAGAAGCCCCGGCUAACUACGUGCCAGCAGCCGCGGUAAUACGUAGGGGGCAAGCGUUAUCCGGAUUUACUGGGAGUAAAGGGAGCGUAGACGGCAGAGCAAGUCUGAAGUGAAAGCCCGCGGCCCAACUGCGGUCCGGCUUUGGAAACGGCCCGGCUAGAG
rnacentral:rRNA from 1 species